UACGUAGGGUGCGAGCGUUAAUCGGAAUUACUGGGCGUAAAGCGUGCGCAGGCGGUUCGUUGUGUCGGUGGUGAAAGCCCCGGGCUUAACCUGGGAAUGGCCAUGGAAACUGGCGAACUGGAGUGUGGCAGAGGGGGGUGGAAUUCCGCGUGUAGCAGUGAAAUGCGUAGAGAUGCGGAGGAACACCGAUGGCGAAGGCAGCCCCCUGGGCUAGCACUGACGCUCAGGCACGAAAGCGUGGGGAGCAAGCAGG
rnacentral:rRNA from 1 species